AAGUCGUAACAAGGUAGCCGUAUCGGAAGGUGCGGCUGGAUCACCUCCUUUCUAAGGAGAACCGAUUGAAGCUAGACUUCAAUCUACUCCAAGGUCGGUACUUAGAGUAAAGCAGUGCAAACUGGACUGACUCUCAAGUAAGGUGAGUUUAGCAAUUUAUUUCUUGUUGUUUAGUUUUGAGUGACCUGAGCACAGUAAUGUGUAAAAGAAACACUCAAAUAAUGUCCAUACAUAUCAGAGAUUCUGGUAAGUAUGGAAAAACAUCCUUGUUCUUUGAAAACUGCACAACGAGAAAAGCAGAAUGCGAAAUGCGAAAGUAAAGACAACGAAAUGGCGUUCAAAUUCUAAAGCGCAAAAACUUAACGUUUUCGCGCGUGGCAAAUUUGAACUUAGGAGCAUCUAUGCUCCGUCAGGUAAGAAUUACUAAGCGCAUAGGAGACAUUCAAAUCAUCUAUAACAAGUCGAGGAAGAACCAGAAGGUCAAGAUAUAAAGGGCAUACGGUGGAUGCCUUGGCGCCAAGAGCCGAAGAAGGACGCGGUUAACAGCGAAAUGCCACGGGGAGUCGUAAGCAGGCAUAGAUCCGUGGAUGUCCGAAUGGGGAAACCCA
rnacentral:misc_RNA from 1 species